ACCGUUUUGCUUUUAUUUCAAUGCAAGCCAAGAAGGAAACACAGACCAACUAAAGUUCAAUUUAAUUUGAAUUAGGAUGGGUGUUGGACGCAAGAGCUGUCUGAGCUGGAGCAGAGAUGAAGAAAACAUUGCAGGGUUUCAUCCAGAGUACUUUGGAACAUGGAAAGGCCCAACGUAUUGCAAGAUGUUAGAAGGAGAGGAUGUACAAAUGGAAAAUCCAAACACCACAUCAGGAUCUAACAGUGAUGCUGGAUUCCUCAGGAUCUGAAUAUCAACAACCUUUGAUCAUGGAAACAGAAAGCACCAUUCACCGUGGGAAGGAACCGUACACUUAUCCUGUGUGUGGAUGAGGCCUCAGUCCAUCAUCUGGAUUGCCAAAACAUAACUGGAGUCACACUGGGGAGAAACCAUGUCAAUGUUGGGGCUGUGAGAAAUUAUUCAGUUAGCCCUGUGAGCUGGAAUGUCAUUGAUGCAGUCAUACAGGGUGUCGUCCCAUUUCCCCCCUCAGUCGAAGCAAAACAUUCAGCAACACAUUAUCAUUUCACCUCCUUUAUCUUUAUUCAGGGCCCUGAAGGGAGAGAGAACAAUCGCCCAUGUUCACAGAGAUGAGUUCACGAUCUUAUCUGAUCUGAUUUAUAUUCAGCUGAAUCUUUUGUUUCACAAAACUCAAAAACUUAACUCUUUCCCUACCUACUUAUACCCUAUACACAUUCUCAAGGGGAGAGGCCAUUCUGCUGCAUUGAAUGUGGUAAAGCAUUUAUUCAUUCAUCCACCCUCCUGACACACCACUGGAGAGAGGCCACUUACCUGUUCCGUGUGUGGGAAGAGAUAAAUGUUUUUAUCGGUGAUGCUGAGAUACCGGCAAGUUCACUAUGAUGAGAGACAGUAUCCAUUGCUCUGACUGGGGUAAGAGUUUUAAAUGUUCAUAUGGACUGAGGGAGCACUAGCGCAUUCCCAUUGGGUACUUCCCAUUCUAAUAUUCUCACUGCAGCAAGAGAUUCAGGCGAUCAUACAGCCUGUUGAUAAAUCAGCAAGUCCACACUGGGGAGAGGCCUUUCACCUGCUUGGUGUGUGGGAAGGAUUUCUUCUAACAUGCUAGUAUACUGGCAGUUGCACACUGGAGAGUGACCUUUCAAAUGCCUAGAUUGCAGGAAGUGCUGUAAAUGUUCUGGGGAUAUGCAUGCCUGUUCACAAUGAUGAGAGACCAUUUAGGUUUGGGCGAUUAUCUGAGCUCUCUGUACACCAGCGGGUCCACACACUGGGGGGAGGCUGUUCACCUGCUCCUCGGAUGGGGAAAGAUUUUCUUGUUCGUGCAACCUUUACAGACACCAGUGUAUUUUCCAAUGACUGCUGGGAUUGGGUUCUGCUGCUAUUGUUAAUCAAAUCCAAGACUGAACCAUGUUGAUACUGACAGUUCCAAUCUGUUUUGAUGAUUUUAAUCAUCUCCAUCCUAGCUCCAGCUGUUAGAAUUCUGGCUAAAUGUCAAGUCUGUCCAAGUCUGUCAAACCUUUCUGCAAUCGCCAAGACAAGGUGGUUCCUUGAAAUAACCUCUCUGUUUCACGACAACCAGCAUGUGCACAGCAAGAUCUCACAAACAUCAGUGAGGUUCAGUCUAACCUCUUCACAUCUUGCUCAGCAAGUUUAGUUACAAUGCAGUUGGAUCUUUCAUCCAUGCCAGUCGUACAGAUUGCAAAUAGUUGAAGUUCCAGGACUGAUCUGCACGAGUUAAAGUUUUCAGGUAUUCCAGGCAAGGAGAGAGAAACUGACAGACACACACACUGAUCAAGCAACAGAGAGCAAUAUAAGGAUAUUUGGAUUUCCUUCAGACAGGAAUCUCACGUCAAAUGUUGGAUCAAGAGCUGUCAUUAAUGCCUGAUUCUCAGGAGCUGAAUAUCACCAGCUUUGAACAUGGAAGGAAAAAGCAUUGUUCAAUGUGAAGAGCAACCAUACGUGUGUUCUGUGCUUGCACAAGGCUUCAGCCAAUCAUCUGGCCUGUCGAGACAUAAAUGCAAUCAAAACAGACAGACAACAAUGACAUAUCAUGGUCAUGGAUCUCAGUUUGAGCUAAGCAAGGGCUUAUUCCCGAAACGUCGAUUCUCCUGUUCCUUUGAUGCUGCCUGACCUGCUGCGUUUUCCAGCAACACAUUUUUAAGCUCUGAUCGCCAGCAUCUGCAGUCCUCACUUUCUCCUAAGCAAGGGCUGCUCAGCUCCUGAUCCCUGUUUUGGUGCAAACAUGGACAAAGGAUCUCAAUUUCAAAUGUGAUGGUGACUGUCCUUGAAAUUAAGGACCCAUUCGAUAGAGUAUUGUAUCAAGGCAUUGUAGCAAAACUUGAGAUAACAACCAUCUGCGAAUGCUAUUCUCCCCAUGAUAGCAAAUGCUUGCAAAGCUCGAGGAAUCAGACCUGAGUAGAUUAUCACAAGAGAAUCUAUUCGAGCUUGUACAACAGAUGUGUGGAAGAGGUCUCUCAGUCAAGCUUAGCGAUACUCUGCCAUUUACAGUUCAAAACAGCACAUUUUGUGUCACAACAGUUAUAUGCAAUAUUGGUAUAAAAUAAA